rnacentral:rRNA from 1 species
AUUGAACGCUGGCGGCAGGCCUAACACAUGCAAGUCGAACGGUAGCACAGAGAGCUUGCUCUCGGGUGACGAGUGGCGGACGGGUGAGUAAUGUCUGGGAAACUGCCUGAUGGAGGGGGCUAACUACUGGAAACGGUAGCUAAUACCGCAUAACGUCGCAAGACCAAAGAGGGGGACCUUCGGGCCUCUUGCCAUCAGACGUGCCCAGAUGGGAUUAGCUAGUAGGUGGGGUAACGGCUCACCCAGGCGACGAUCCCUAGCUGGUCUGAGAGGAUGACCGGCCACACGGGAACUGUGACACGGUCCAGACGCCUACGGGAGGCAGCAGUGGGGAAUAUUGCACAAUGGGCGCAAGCCUGAUGCAGCCAUGCCGCGUGUAUGAAGAAGGCCUUCGGGUUGUAAAGUACUUUCAGCGGGGAGGAAGGCGGUGAGGUUAAUAACCUCAUCGAUUGACGUUACCCGCAGAAGAAGCACCGGCUAACUCCGUGCCAGCCGCCGCCGUAA